rnacentral:ncRNA from 2 species
AGUUUGCCUUUGCGUUAGGGAUUGCAGUGAAAAGCCCACAGCUUUACCAAUGGUAAUUGGUGGAGCGAGGACUUGCAGCGUAAAGCCCGACCCUUU